rnacentral:rRNA from 1 species
UACAGAGGGUGCAAGCGUUAAUCGGAAUUACUGGGCGUAAAGCGCGCGUAGGCGGUUUGUUAAGUUGGAUGUGAAAUCCCCGGGCUCAACCUGGGAACUGCAUCUGUGACUGCAUAGCUAGAGUACGGUAGAGGGUGAUGGAAUUCCGCGUGUAGCAGUGAAAUGCGUAGAUAUGCGGAGGAACACCGAUGGCGAAGGCAAUCCCCUGGACCUGUACUGACGCUCAUGCACGAAAGCGUGGGGAGCAAACAGG